rnacentral:rRNA from 1 species
ACCCGCACAAGCGGUGGAUGAUGUGGAUAAUUCGAUGCAACGCGAAAACCUUACCUACCCUUGACAUGUCCGGAAUCCCGAAGAGAUUUGGGAGUGCUCGCAAGAGAGCCGGAACACAGGUGCUGCAUGGCUGUCGUCAGCUCGUGUCGUGAGAUGUUGGGUUAAGUCCCGCAACGAGCGCAACCCUUGUCAUUAGUUGCCAUCAUUUGGUUGGGCACUCUAAUGAGACUGCCGGUGACAAACCGGAGGAAGGUGGGGAUGACGUCAAGUCCUCAUGGCCCUUAUGGGUAGGGCUUCACACGUCAUACAAUGGUCGGUACAGAGGGUUGCCAACCCGCGAGGGGGAGCUAAUCCCACAAAGCCGAUCGUAGUCCGGAUCGCAGUCUGCAACUCGACUGCGUGAAGUCGGAAUCGCUAGUAAUCGUGGAUCAGCAUGUCACGGUGAAUACGUUCCCGGGUCUU